GUGAACGCUGGCGGUAGGCCUAACACAUGCAAGUCGAACGGCAGCACAGGAGAGCUUGCUCUCUAGGUGGCGAGUGGCGGACGGGUGAGGAAUACAUCGGAAUCUGCCCAGUCGUGGGGGAUAACGUAGGGAAACUUACGCUAAUACCGCAUACGACCUUCGGGUGAAAGAGGGGGAUCGCAAGACCUCUCGCGAUUGGAUGAGCCGAUAUCGGAUUAGCUAGUUAGCGGGGUAAUGGCCCACCAAGGCGACGAUCCGUAGCUGGUCUGAGAGGAUGAUCAGCCACACUGGAACUGAGACACGGUCCAGACUCCUACGGGAGGCAGCAGUGGGGAAUAUUGGACAAUGGGCGCAAGCCUGAUCCAGCCAUACCGCGUGGGUGAAGAAGGCCUUCGGGUUGUAAAGCCCUUUUGUUGGGAAAGAAAUCUUUCAGGCUAAUACCCUGGGAGGAUGACGGUACCCAAAGAAUAAGCACCGGCUAACUUCGUG
rnacentral:rRNA from 1 species